AAAGAUUAAGCCAUGCAUGUCUAAGCACAUGCCUUAAUACGGUGAAGCCGCGAAUAGCUCAUUACAACAGCCACCGUUUACUAGAAUAUAGUUAUCCUACUUGGAUAACUGUGGCAAUUCUAGAGCUAAUACAUGCAAAAAAGCUCUGCCCGCAAGGAACGAGCGCAUUUAUUAGAAUAAAAACCAAUCGGGUUUCGGCCCGUAAUUUGGUGAAUCUGAAUAACUUUGCCAAUCGCACAGUCCUAGUACUGGCGAUGUAUCUUUCAAGUGUCUGCCUUAUCAACUUUCGAUGGUAGGUUAUACGCCUACCAUGGUAGUAACGGGUAACGGAGAAUAAGGGUUCGACUCCGGAGAGGGAGCCUGAGAAACGGCUACCACAUCCAAGGAAGGCAGCAGGCGCGCAAAUUACCCACUUCCAGAACGGAGAGGUAGUGACGAAAAAUAACGAGACAGUCCUCUUCGAGGUCUGUCAUCGGAAUGGGUACAAUUUAAAUCCUUUAACGAGGAUCUAUUGGAGGGCAAGUCUGGUGCCAGCAGCCGCGGUAAUUCCAGCUCCAAUAGCGUAUAUUAAAGUUGUUGCGGUUAAAACGCUCGUAGUUGGAUCUGCGGCCUCGGAGAACGGUCCCCCGAAAGGGUGGUCACUGUCUCUCCUAGCCUAAAUUCGAGUCGUCUCUAGGUGCUCUUUACCGAGUGCUUAGAGUGACUAGAACGUUUACUUUGAAAAAAUUAGAGUGCUUAAAGCAGGCGAAAUAGCCUGAAUAAGGUGCAUGGAAUAAUGGAAUAGGACCUCGGUUCUAUUUUGUUGGUUUUCGGAACCCGAGGUAAUGAUUAAGAGGAACAGACGGGGGCAUUCGUAUUCCGGCGCUAGAGGUGAAAUUCUUGGACCGCCGGAAGACGGACGACUGCGAAAGCAUUUGCCAAGAAUG
rnacentral:rRNA from 2 species